AUCCAUCUGAUGAGUCCCAAAUGGGACGAAAACGCGCGUCUUGGAU
rnacentral:hammerhead_ribozyme from 1 species